GCAGUGAUAAAAGACAUGUAGAUGCCUUCCUGUGCGCGUCCAGCAGGGUGCAUGCUGUCCGUCUGCACGUUAAGUUGCGGUGCCAUCUGUGGCUGUUGGAUUAAACCUUCAGUAGACACUUCUUGGUAUGGGCUGUAGAGGGCGCUGCAAAGUGGCAUUUGCUGGGGCCAGUAAGAUUGUGGUACUUUAUUCACAAGAGAAAGUGAAUGUUGAUGUUCAUUGUUCGUUUGGUUGCUAGCACAUGUUUUCGACGAGUCGCUGCUAAUGUGAGAUGCACC